AAAUCACAGUAGAGCUGAAGAUAGCAAACAACAUUAUGGCAACCAGAGCGGCAUCUUUUGCUCUUUAUUACAUUCUCCUCCUCACAUUGUGCUCAACGGGGGCAGAGGUUCGAGGCGUCGCAGAGUACCCGGCUGCUGCAAGUGCUACACCAUAUUGUGGCAGAAACUUCAUAGCCAGCCAGGGAAAAUGUGAUGAUACUAAAUGUUGGGGAUCAUGCCAUGAUAAAUAUUUCAGGCUUCCGAAUGUCACUCAUGUGGGCGGCGCUUGCGAAACUCCCACCUGUUGCCUUUGUGAGGUAGAUUGUGAGUGAAAUACUUAAGUCAGCCUCUGCUGAUAGUGCAUUUUGAGAUGAUGUACCAUGUAUAAGAGAAAUAAAAAUACUCCAUUUGAAAUAAA